rnacentral:rRNA from 1 species
AUUGAACGCUGGCGGCAUGCUUUACACAUGCAAGUCGAGCGGCAGCGCGGGACUCAGGCAACUGAGCCCUGGCGGCGAGCGGCGAACGGGUGAGGAAUACAUCGGAACGUGUCCCGUAGUGGGGGAUAGCUCGGCGAAAGCCGGAUUAAUACCGCAUAUGCUCUACGGAGGAAAGCCGGGGACCUGCAAGGGCCUGGCGCUAUGGGAGCGGCCGAUGCCGAUUAGCUAGUUGGUGAGGUAAAGGCUCACCAAGGCGACGAUCGGUAGCUGGUCUGAGAGGAUGAUCAGCCACACUGGGACUGAGACACGGCCCAGACUCCUACGGGAGGCAGCAGUGGGGAAUUUUGGACAAUGGGGCAACCCUGAUCCAGCCAUGCCGCGUGCGGGAUGAAGGAUCUAGGUCUGUAAACUCCUUUUGUUGGGAAGACUUAGGACGGUACCAACGAAUAAGCACCGGCUAACUACGUGACAGCCGCCGCAGUAAU